rnacentral:lncRNA from 1 species
GAAGCCUUUAGUGCUGAAAACCUUAAGCUAUGACCUUCUAUGACAAUACUUAAUUUUUAAAUAUAUUUAUUCUUCCGCAGGUUAAGAAAUUGAUUCUCCCGCAGAAACAAUGGAUUUCGGUGUAGCGGAACUGUUACGUGGAGAUGCUAAGAUGCAAAGGUACAUUUCAAAACACGCCGGACAAUAUUGGCUGGAAAAUGACUUGGUUAAAACCUGAUGAUCUUACCAGCAUUCUGCAGGUUGAUGAAUACUAAUGAAGCUGUGGAUGUCACUGAGCAGCUUCAUUUUAAAUGAGGGGUUGCUGUCUGCCUGCUGUCUGCCUGGUAUGCUGUGACAUUUCGAAGGUGGAAACAUUUCUGGCUAGUGCUGCGAGAUUUACUUGUCUGUCUUAUGAAAAUCUGGUGAUUGGGAAAACCUCCAAUGGAUGUGGGAAGAAAGUUCAAGAUGAAUUACAUUUUUACAUUGGUUUGUAAAUAGAUUCUGAACCAGCAUCGAGUCUAGAUAAUGCAUCCAUAAGAGUCAAGGCAUUUCUGUUUGACCAUGACACUGCUGUAGAAUCAUAACCUGUUAAUCAGUGUAUUACUUUCUAACUAUUUUGAAUGGAAAAUUCUUUUCUAGUUAUCUAGCCUUGUAAUUAAAUAAUUUUGAAUAGCCUUUGGUUCUUUGUCUGAAUUGAGUUUAAAACUGUGUGAUUGUAAUUACACCAAGUUAAAGUGUGUACUCUUGCGGUGGAAUCUUCAGUCAGGUUUCUAGGAAGAGAUGAUUUGGUUUGGCAAGAAUAAGUAAUGUGCAAAACAUUAGCUUCAGAGUGUUGGGGUGAGAGCAAAGUGGGAAAGAUGGGACCUGUUAACAGUGAGGGAACGUCACUGAUAAAAUCUGGGUUAAAACUGGUCAAGCAUUGUAUGGAAUGGGUUAGUGUAAAUAAUAGCAUCUAAUCUAACCAAGGUGGUUGGGCCCUGCUGCUCCUGCUAAGUCACUUCAGUCAUGUCCGACUCUGCGACCCCAUGGACAGCAGCCCAUCAGGCUCCUCUGUCCACGGGAUUCUCUAGGCAAGAACACUGGAGUGGGUUGCCAUUUCCUUCUCUGGUUGGGCCCUAACCCUAAUCAUUUUCCCUAAAUAGC